rfam:Chloroflexi bacterium 13_1_40CM_2_70_6 13_1_40cm_2_scaffold_1420, whole genome shotgun sequence.
GACCCCGUAGCUCAGCGGAUAGAGCACUUGCCUACGAAGCAAGGGGCCAGGCGUUCGAAUCGCCUCGGGGUCG